GACGAACCGUACGAACGUUAUUCGGAAUCACUGGGCUUAAAGGGUGCGUAGGUGGCGGGGUAAGUCAGGUGUGAAAUCUCGGGGCUCAACCCCGAAACUGCACUUGAUACUGCCUUGCUCGAGUACUGGAGAGGAGAUUGGAAUUUACGGUGUAGCAGUGAAAUGCGUAGAUAUCGUAAGGAAGACCAGUGGCGAAGGCGAAUCUCUGGACAGUUACUGACACUGAGGCACGAAGGCCAGGGGAGCAAACGGG
rnacentral:rRNA from 1 species